AUUGAACGCUGGCGGCAGGCCUAACACAUGCAAGUCGAACGAGUGGCGGACGGGUGAGUAAUGUCUGGGAAACUGCCUGAUGGAGGGGGAUAACUACUGGAAACGGUAGCUAAUACCGCAUACCAUCGGAUGUGCCCAGAUGGGAUUAGCUUGUUGGUGGGGUAACGGCUCACCAAGGCGACGCUCCCUAGCUGGUCGGAGAGGAUUACCAGCCACACUGGAACUGAGACACGGUCCAGACUCCUACGGGAGGAAGCAGUGGGGAAUAUUGGACAAUGGGCGCAAGCCUGAUUCAGCCAUGCCGCGUGUAUGAAGAAGGCCUUCGGGUUGUAAAGUACGUUCAGCGGGGAGGCGUUACCCGCAGAAUAAGCACCGGCUAACUCCGUGCCAGCAGCCGCGGUAAUAC
rnacentral:rRNA from 1 species